UGGCGAACGGGUGAGUAACGCGUGAGGAACCUGCCUCAAAGAGGGGGACAACAGUUGGAAACGACUGCUAAUACCGCAUAGGCCCACGACCCGGCAUCGGGAAGAGGGAAAAGGAGCAAUCCGCUUUGAGAUGGCCUCGCGUCCGAUUAGCUAGUUGGUGAGGUAACGGCCCACCAAGGCGACGAUCGGUAGCCGGACUGAGAGGUUGAACGGCCACAUUGGGACUGAGACACGGCCCAG
rnacentral:rRNA from 1 species